UACAGAGGUCUCAAGCGUUGUCCGGAAUUAUUGGGCGUAAAGAGCUCGUAGGCGGUCUGUCGCGUCUGCUGUGAAAACCCGAGGCUCAACCUCGGGCCUGCAGUGGGUACGGGCAGACUAGAGUGCGGUAGGGGAGAAUGGAAUUCCUGGUGUAGCGGUGGAAUGCGCAGAUAUCAGGAGGAACACCGAUGGCGAAGGCAGUUCUCUGGGCCGUAACUGACGCUGAGGAGCGAAAGCGUGGGGAGCGAACAGG
rnacentral:rRNA from 1 species